UACGUAGGGGGCAAGCGUUGUCCGGAUUUAUUGGGCGUAAAGCGCUCGCAGGUGGUUCGAUGCGUCGUGCGUGAAAGACCCCGGCUCAACUGGGGAGGGUCGUGCGAUACGGUCGAACUGGAGGCCAGUAGGGGGAUGCGGAAUUCCGGGUGUAGUGGUGGAAUGCGUAGAGAUCCGGAGGAACACCAGCGGCGAAGGCGGCAUCCUGGACCAACACUGACGCUGAGGAGCGAAAGCCAGGGGAGCAAACGGG
rnacentral:rRNA from 1 species